ensembl:lncRNA
GUGCAGCCCGAUGGCUGGGAAGUGUCCACUCAGUUCUGGAAAAGAACUGGGAAAGGAGCCUUCUCAAAGGGAAGCCCUGGUUCCAUUUUCUGUUUUAGUUUGCUUGUUUGUUUUAGUUUUUUCAGACAGGGUUUCUCUGUUUUGCCCUGGAUGUCUGGGAAGACCAGGCUGGCCUCGAACUCAGAGAUCCAUCUGCUUCUGCCUCCAAAGUGCUGGGAUUAAUGGUGUGUGCCACCAUGCCAGGCUCCUUGUUCCAUUUUCAACGGAUGCCCGAAAUCUUACUGACACAGCACCACCCCUUUAUCUGCAGUUUGAUUUCUUUUUAUUCAGCCCCAGCCCUUCAGAGUUGAUGGUGAAGAACCCCAGACUCUGCUGAAGGCUUCCUAUGAAGUUCAGACCACAGAAAAUGAUGGCAUCAAGCACAGAUGAAAAGGAACAGUGUGUAACUGUGUGUGCUCAGGCACCAUUAAUAUGUGUUGAGCAUUUCACAGAGCAAGUUCACAGACACGCAUGUGUCCUGCAGAGUGAGAGCAGAGACAAAACCAGGAUCCUGAAGUCCUGUGAGAGAUCUGUGGGCAGUGGUCACUCAGACCUGGGCCAAGGAUGGGGUUCUUCUGUGAUGAUGGGAGAAAGUGUCCUGGACAAACAGGGGAGAGCAUGGAUGUGGAGCUGUGUGCUGUGUGCAAGGCUGAGCAGGGAGAGCACGGAUGUGGAGCUGUGUGUGAAGGCCGAGUCCUUCGUCUCUUCUGUUUUUACCUGUUUCAUCUGUAAUCGGGCUCUUCCUAGAGGACCAGCUCCCUCCUGCCUCCUGGUGGUGGCUAACCUCUUCACAGUCUUUCCCGUCAAGUGGUUGGAUGCUGAUCCUACCCAGCACAAUGGCCUCUUCUUGAUGAAGUCUAUCUGUCACAACAGGUUUCAAAUCAACUGCAGACUGCUCCAGCAGCUUGCCAGCUCCAGGUGUUCCCUCGAAAUCUGGAUCCUGGACAUCUUCAAAGCAGCUAGCCCCAGUGGUCCAGUUUCAAAGAUGCCACCUGCACUUCUCUAGCCCCAGAUGGUCCUGAAGAGUCUGGACAAAGAGUGAAACAGUCUGCUCUUCCUGACUUGGCCAGCAUCCCCGCUUUCUUGGGUCCCCAAAGAUGUCAAUGUCUCCAGACAACAGGAAGUAGUCUAAAAAAUCACAUGCCCAGGCUGGAGAGAUGGCUCAGAGGUUAAGAGCACUGACUGCUCUUCCAGGGGUCCCAAAUUGCUCUUCCAAUUCCCAGCAACCACAUGGUGGCUCACAACCAUCUACAAUUCAAUCUGGUACCCUCUUCUGGCACGUAGGCAGAACACUGUGUAUGUAAUAAAUAAAUAAAGCUUUAAAAAUAUCACACUCCCCCACCCUGCCUCACCAGCCACCCCUUACUAUUUCCUCACCUUCUGUAAUAAGUUAUGAGGGAAGGACGUUGGUAAACUGAGAACCACUCACAUUCCAGAACCAAGUACUCCCUCAGCCUGCUUUCAGCAACUCAGUGUCAGCAGUCAAGUCAUCACCAGCUGCAAAAGCAACACAUUUGCACUGUGCCCAAGAGUCAGGUACCCUUUAUAAAGCCCGAAGGUGUGAGCCCUGCCCCUCCUUUUCUAUCCUUGCUCAGAAUGGGCCUUUUGCUCUCCACCCCUAAUAAAUCUCUUGCAUGAGAUCUAUUGCAUGGUUUAAACUUUUCAGACUUUCCUUGGUCCUGCUAUCACUGCAAAAUCCUAACACAAGGUUUCAUUUAGUUCAGGCUGGCCUAGAACUUUCUGUGUAGCAGAGGCUAUCCUUGGACUCCCAAUCCUGUCUGCAGCUCCCAUGUUCUAGGCUUAGAGGUGUGUGUGCCACCAUGCUUGGCAAAACAAAAACAAACAAACAAAAGAGAAACAAACAAAACAAAAACAAACAAAAAACCCUCAUUGUGUAACCUAAGACUUUAAUUUUGAAGCACUUGAAGAACAUCAAUUGAUAAAAUGUAAUGAAUACAAAUGUGUGGACUCUGGGGAAAUAAAAUUACUCAUAUAGUUCCAUUUCCAUAGAUAGGGCUUCUUUUUGUAUUUUAAAUGACUGGCAAUCUAAGGGUGGUUUUCACAUUUUUAAAGGGUAGAAAAAUAGGCAAAGAAGAAGAUGGGGGAGAUAUCUGCAUGGGCAUAUGUAGCUGGACCCGCCCUCCGCUGCAGGCCAGCUGCAGCCCUGGGGAAAGGUAGCUUUGCUUCCAUCCCAAUGGUAACUGACAGAAGUUACAGUCUCCAAGUUGCUAUGCCGACCGGGAAUUCAGCUCUUAAAAUAGGAGACUGU